AGAGCACUGUUUCGGCUAGGGGGUCAUCCCGACUUACCAACCCGAUGCAAACUACGAAUACCGAAGAAUGUUAUCACGGGAGACACACGGCGGGCGCUAACGUCCGUCGUGAAGAGGGAAACAACCCAGACCGCCAGCUAAGGUCCCAAAGUCAUGGUUAAGUGGGAAACGAUGUGGGAAGGCACAGACAGCCAGGAUGUUGGCUUAGAAGCAGCCAUCAUUUAAAGAAAGCGUAAUAGCUCACUGGUCGAGUCGGCCUGCGCGGAAGAUGUAACGGGGCUAAACCAUGCACCGAAGCUGCGGCAGCGACACUAUGUGUUGUUGGGUAGGGGAGCGUUCUGUAAGCCUGCGAAGGUGUGCUGUGAGGCAUGCUGGAGGUAUCAGAAGUGCGAAUGCUGACAUAAGUAACGAUAAAGCG
rnacentral:rRNA from 1 species